GAUGGCUAGAGUGUUCUAACUGCACUGGUAAAACGUAAGAUCUCGAAGAAGACAAGAUGGCUCGCAGAGGAAACGCAAUCUGCAGCACAUUUGCGGUUAUCUUGAUCAUGAUCUCACAACAGACCUGUGUUCAGUCUACUGUGAAUUAUGUGCGCGUUGGAUGUUUUAAAGACAAACCUGAUCGUCGAGCAAUGACACUUCUUGCAAGUUACCGAAAUCCUGAAGACAACACAAUGGACUGGAAUGACUUGAAAACAUCUGUGGUCGACAAAUGCGCUCGCAAGGCGAAAGAAAACGGAUCGACAUUUUUUGGUAUCCAGUAUUUCGGGGAAUGCUGGGGUCUGCCUGGUCAAUAUAAUCAAUACGGAGUAUCUCUAAACUGCCAAUCCAUAGGAGGAGCUUUCGUGGGGCGAAACUAUGCAAACUAUGUUUAUAUGCUGACUGAAGGUGAGUGCACAAAUUACGAAAUCCUGAACAACUUCACAAGGUCUCGUAACUAUACUCGUUUUCUAAAUCGAUGUGAUUCUUUCAACUACGGCUGGAAAAGUGGAUGGUACAGGUUUGACGGGGCAUCCGGAAAGCUGAUGGCCAACAGCUGUGUCUCUUACGGUCAUUGUGGAACACACCAAACCGGCUGGUUUAAUGGGAGACUACCUCGGGUCGCAGAGGGAAAAAUACCCGCAUGGGUGUGCUUUAACGACCGAAGUAGUUGCUGUAAUGAUAAGACAAAGCUUCAAAUUUCUGUACGUCGAUGUGAUGGUUUCUACGUAUACAACUUGCCCAGGUCGACAAAUGGAUGUUUCAAAGCUUAUUGUGGAAAUGGUCCUUAGAGGGAAACCACGGCAAAUGAAACAAAACAUGUCAACGCCUCCUAUAAAACAAGACCAAAAACCGUGAAGGAAAAAUACUUAAACUUGUAAUCUGCUAAAGUAUGGGAUGAAAUAAAAUAAACAAUGAUGAAAUCUCGAUUGAACGAUCAGUACUGACUGGGUUGUGUACAAGAAUCAGGCUUUAUAAAGCCGAACAGCAUUGAGAGAAAAGCGGUAUGAGAAAGAGCAGUCCCCAAUCUUUUUAUUUUCAUCUCCAUUUUACGGGCCAAACUGGGAGCCUGUAACAAGAGACAAUAAAAACAACUGACCUCAAGUUUUGCAUAUCGUCUGAUGGAAAGUAAUCACCAUAAUACACGCUAACAACUUCAUCUUUCGCCUUGCCUACAUGUAUAAGGCCUUAGUACUUGACCGCGCCCACGCAAAUUAAUUUUUUAUCCGUUGGUGAGUUGUGACGACAAUUAGGAAUUAAUACUUUGUCUUUAUGUCGCAUUUUAAUUUUAAGGGUGGUUUCAAGCGUUCGACGGAAAAGAUCGAGUAACGAGAUUAGUCGCGCUUAGAAUAUUUAGGUGAUAAAGAUGAUUUCUUUCGAUUUAGGAAUCACACUUUGUGGCUAAAGGCGUUUCAAGGGAAAUAAACACAUUGCUUUCUAAAUUUAAUCGUAUAUUUUAGUAAGAAAUGGGGCUUUUCCAAUUUGUCGUCAUUGGCCUAGAAACCAGCGACUGAUUAGCUAAACCUUUGAGAUUUUCUCCGCUGAAAUCACCGUUCCAUUCACAAUUUUCUCCCAGAAUCUCCGGAAUUUUCGGUUGCAUGGUUUCGGAAAUUCAUUAGUUCGCGAAUCCCCUGAGAAAUUGCCAUACCAUUCGCUCCGUUGCUCCCCAAAUUUCCGGCAGUUUUGGUUCAAUACAAUUUUUGGAUUAACGUCGGGAACCUGGGGUACAGUACAGUUUGUAGUUUCCAGGCUUCAACGAGCGCUUAUUCCAAGAUGGCGACUUUGUUACAUGUGCAAUGAGGUUCCAAUUGGAAGCCUUUUCAACUAGUCAAUUCCAUCAUAACUUGCGAUCAACGCCUGAUAAGUGGCUAGCUGAGAAGUCUGCUGACUGAUUUCAAAAUGUUUACAGUUACAGGACGACUUCCAACGGAGAAUUCCAAGUGGCAUUUGGAAAAUGCAGGCGUCCCAAACUCACGAUAGAAUUUAACACCUCAAAAAAACCCCAAAACGAUGAAAUAGGCCAAAUGGACAACAGAAACCAGGCAUGGUGAUAAAAAGGAGAAGCAAAUCCUAAUUCAAGUCCUUGCUUCAUCCUGCAUGUGAUGGCGCUGUCCAAGAAGAAAACAAGUUGUAAGAGACAUAGAUCACAAGAUCAAGGACUGGGGACCCAGGACCUUGGACUCAGGACAGAGGACCCAGGACGGAGGACCCAACUCAGAGGGCCCAGGACAGAGGACCCAGGACAGAGGACCAAGGACUCAGAACAGAGGAUCAAGAAGCAAGGAUAUGACUGAUGACUGAUAACUGGGGAUCAAGGACAGUGGAUGAAAGCAAGCUUUGGAUGACGACCUUUCAUAAGUUGAAUUAUAGAUAUAUUAAGGUAUAUAAGAUAUUACCGACAGCAGAGAUAGCACAGUACACCUUGCCUCGAGGGUUUUUCUCCGGGUACUCCGGUUUCCUUCACUCCUGAAAAACCAGUAUUUUCAAAUUCCAAUUUAACAAAAUUGGCGACACAUUGCUGUGGGUUGAUUCA
rnacentral:misc_RNA from 1 species